UACCGAGUUUUCACUCCCAAACCCUUAUGUGAACCUACCUAUCGUUGCUUCGGCGGACUCGCCCCAGCCGGACGCGGACUGGACCAGCGGCCGCCGGGGACCAUCAAACUCUUGUAUUAUCAGCAUCUUCUGAAUACGCCGCAAGGCAAAACAAAUAAAUUAAAACUUUCAACAACGGAUCUCUUGGCUCUGGCAUCGAUGAAGAACGCAGCGAAAUGCGAUAAGUAAUGUGAAUUGCAGAAUCCAGUGAAUCAUCGAAUCUUUGAACGCACAUUGCGCCCGCCAGCAUUCUGGCGGGCAUGCCUGUUCGAGCGUCAUUUCAACCCUCGACCUCCCUUUGGGGAAGUCGGCGUUGGGGACCGGCAGCACACCGCCGGCCCUGAAAUGGAGUGGCGGCCCGUCCGCGGCGACCUCUGCGUAGUAAACCAACUCGCACCGGAACCCCGACGUGGCCACGCCGUANAACACCCAACUUCUGAACGUUGACCUCGAAUCAGGUAGGACUACCCGCUGAACUUAAGCAUAUC
rnacentral:rRNA from 1 species